rnacentral:misc_RNA from 1 species
GAUGAAGAACGUAGCGAAAUGCGAUAAGUAAUGUGAAUUGCAGAAUUCAGUGAAUCAUCGAAUCUUUGAACGCACCUUGCGCCCUUUGGCUAUUCUGAAGGGCAUGCCUGUUUGAGUAUCGUGAACACCUCAACUCUCAUGGUCUGCCAUGAUGAGCUUGGACUUUGGGGGUCUUGCUGGCCUACUGUCAGCUCCUCUCAAAUGAAUCAGCUUACCAGUGUUUGGUGGCACCACAGGUGUGAUAACUAUCUACGCUUGUGGUUUUCUGCCAGGUAACCUCCAGUGAUGGAGGUUCGCUGGAGCUCACAAAUGUCUCUCCUCAGCGAGGACAGCUUUUUAAACGUUUGAUCUCAAAUCAGGUAGGACUACCCGCUGAACUUAAGCAUAUCAAUAAGCGGAGGA